AACGAACGCUGGCGACAGGCCUAACACAUGCAAGUCAAACGGGACCUUCGGGUCUAGUGGCGGACGGGUGAGUAACGCGUGGGAACGUGCCCUUUGGUUCGGAAUAGCCCCGGGAAACUGGGAGUAAUACCGGAUAAGCCCUACGGGGGAAAGAUUUAUCGCCAAAGGAUCGGCCCGCGUUGGAUUAGGUAGUUGGUGGGGUAAUGGCCUACCAAGCCGACGAUCCGUAGCUGGUUUGAGAGGAUGAUCAGCCACACUGGGACUGAGACACGGCCCAGACUCCUACGGGAGGCAGCAGUGGGGAAUCUUAGACAAUGGGGGAAACCCUGAUCUAGCCAUGCCGCGUGAUCGAUGAAGGCCUUAGGGUUGUAAAGAUCUUUCAGUGGGGAAGAUAAUGACUGUACCCACAGAAGAAGCCCCGGCUAACUCCGUGCCAGCAGCCGCCGUAAUAC
rnacentral:rRNA from 1 species